AGUACUUUUUGCAUUAUAAUAUGUAUAUAUAUAUAUUUACGCUAUGGAUAAAGAUACAAAUUCUUAGGGGACAUCCAUAAAUUACGUAACACAUUUUGAAGAUUUUUUAGACUCCCCCCCCCUGGUAUGUAACAGAUCGUAACAAAUUACCAGACCCCCCUACCCCUGAAGGAUUUGUUACGUAACAUAAUCAUUUUGUCUCAACAGAAAAAGUUCUUGAAUUAUUUAAAUUUAAAUUUAUUGCACAAAACAAUUGCUACAUAUUUAGUUUAUUAAUUAAAGAAGUAAUAUGAAAAAUUAACGUUCAUUUUUUUUGAGCAAAAUCAUCUUCCCAACUGGGUUUGAACUAGUCGGUUAUCGAGUCAAUUACAGGAAUUUUUGAAUUAUCUAAUUCAAGAAGUGGUGUCGUUUCUUUGUCGUCUUCCUCUAUAUCAUCAACAUCUAUCCAUUCCACGUCAUCAAAUUCAUUAUUAUUAAUCAUACAUAG